rnacentral:rRNA from 1 species
UACGAAGGGGGCUAGCGUUGUUCGGAAUUACUGGGCGUAAAGCGUAUGCAGGCGGAUCGUUAAGUCGGGGGUGAAAUCCCGAGGCUCAACCUCGGAACUGCCUUCGAUACUGCGGGUCUCGAGUCCGGGAGAGGUGAGUGGAAUUCCUAGUGUAGAGGUGAAAUUCGUAGAUAUUAGGAAGAACACCAGUGGCGAAGGCGGCUCACUGGCCCGGUACUGACGCUGAGGCGCGAAAGCGUGGGGAGCAAACAGG